GGGGGGGGGGGGGGGGGGGCUGGCCCGGGCGGGGCGGGGGGGUGGAGGGGGCGGGCUCCUGGAUUCAGCGGCGGAGGGGUGGGGAAUGGCUCGGAAUCUGCCUGGGAGUGGGGGAUAACGGCCGGGAACGGGCGCUAAUACCGCCUACGUCCUGCGGGGGGAGGGGGGGGAUCUUCGGGCCUCACGCUCUCAGAUGAGCCUAGGUCGGAUUAGCUAGUUGGUGGGGUAAAGGCCUACCAAGGCGACGAUCCGUAACUGGUCUGAGAGGAUGAUCAGUCACACUGGAACUGAGACACGGUCCAGACUCCUACGGGAGGCAGCAGUGGGGAAUAUUGGACAAUGGGCGAAAGCCUGAUCCAGCCAUGCCGCGGGUGUGAAGAAGGUCUUCGGAUUGUAAAGCACUUUAAGUUGGGAGGAAGGGCAGUAAGUUAAUACCUUGCUGUUUUGACGUUACCAACAGAAUAAGCACCGGCUAACUUCGUG
rnacentral:rRNA from 1 species